rnacentral:rRNA from 1 species
AGCAGCCGCGGUAAUUCCAGCUCCAAUAGCGUAUAUUAAAGUUGUUGCAGUUAAAAAGCUCGUAGUUGAAUUUCGGGGUCAGUAGGUCGGUCGUGCCACUGGUAUGAACUGGUUUUACUGAUUCCUCCCUCUUGAAGAACUAUAAUGUCAUUAAUUUGGUGUUGUAGGGAAUCAGGACUGUUACUUUGAAAAAAUUAGAGUGUUUAAAGCAGGCUUUAGCUUGAAUACAUUAGCAUGGAAUAAUGAAAUAGGACGUUUGAUCCUAUUUUGUUGGUUUCUAGGAUUGACGUAAUGAUUAAUAGGGAUAGUUGGGGGCAUUAGUAUUCAAUUGUCAGAGGUGAAAUUCUUGGAUUUAUUGAAGACUAACUACUGCGAAAGCAUUUGCCAAGGAUGUUUUCAUUAAUCAAGAACGAAAGUUAGGGGAUCGAAGACGAUCAGAUACCGUCGUAGUCUUAACCAUAAACUAUGCCGACUAGGGAUCGGAUGAUGUUAAUUUUUUAAUGACUCAUUCGGCGCCUUACG